ACAGCCAGAUCAUGUUGAAACACCAGUUCUCGUACGAUCACCAAAGUUAAGCAACAUCAAACCUGGUCAGUACCAAGAUGAGUGACAGCUUGGGAACAUCAGGUGCUGUAAG